AUGAACGUGCACAAGGAAAGAUAAUAGCACAAGAAAUCCAAAACCAAGAGGACAUCACAAUCAACAUUGAAGAUGAUGAUUCAUUUCUGGAAUUACCAAAAAAGAAGAUCAAGGUGGAAAAGGAUUGAUCAAAGGCCAACAAAAAAUAAACAUUAAUGUUUUUUAUUUUUAAUUACAUUUACAAAUUUGUUAAAGGAUUUUACAUGUGCUUUUCAUAGGCUUUUUAACUUUAUUAAUUGAUGAGUUAAAUUUGUUAGGACAAUUUAUGAUUUAUACGCAUAUGCUCAUAUAGUUGUUUGAUAAAUAUUGCAUGCUUUGAUUGUUAUUGCAGUUAUUAACUUAAAUUUAACAUUUAAUUAUAUGAAUCAAAAUACAUAUUCAUAGAAUAGUUCACUUUAUUAAUUUAAAUUUUCAUGUCAACUAUUUUUAACUUAUCUAUACUGCACAAAAUAUAUUGUCGAUGAGUCGUUUGCAAGAAAAAUGAUGACCAAGCACAGCUUCCUGAACCUGUUGAGAGGAAACAAUAGCUUUCUUUAGAGAAGGUUCUCAGUGUUUUUUAAAAGAAUAAUCAAUGAAGAUUGCCUACUACUAGAUUUCAUACCAAAAAUUGAUCGUCUGGAUAGGAUGAUAUUACAACUUUAAUCAUGGCAGUUAUCUCAUCUAACAAGUGUGCUGAGCAAAUACAAUUCAUAGAAUAGCGGCAUUCUAUACCUAUGUCUUCAGAGCCUUCAGCAAAAUACAGAUAUC